rnacentral:rRNA from 1 species
UACGUAGGGUGCGAGCGUUGUCCGGAAUUAUUGGGCGUAAAGGGCUCGUAGGCGGUCUGUUGCGUCAGGAGUGAAAACUCGGGGCUUAACCCCGAGCCUGCUUCUGAUACGGGCAGACUAGAGGUAUGCAGGGGAGAACGGAAUUCCUGGUGUAGCGGUGAAAUGCGCAGAUAUCAGGAGGAACACCAAUUGCGAAGGCAGCUCGCUGGGACGUUACUGACGCUGAGGCGCGAAAGCUAGGGGAGCAAACGGG